rnacentral:rRNA from 1 species
GACGAACGCUGGCGGCGUGCUUAACACAUGCAAGUGGAGCGACGAACCAGGCUUCGGCCUGGGGCAAAGCCGCGAACGGGUGAGUAACACGUGGGUAACCUGCCCCGAUGACUGGGACAACCCGAGGAAACUCGGGCUAAUACCGGAUGUACUUACAUCACACAAGUGAUGCAAGCAAAGAUAGCUUCGGCCUUCGCAUCGGGAUGGGCCCGCGGCCCAUUAGCUUGUUGGUGGGGAACGGCCUACCAAGGCAACGAUGGGUAGCUGGUCUGAGAGGACGAUCAGCCACACUGGGACUGAGACACGGCCCAGACUCCUACGGGAGGCAGCAGUGGGGAAUCUUGCGCAAUGCGCGAAAGCGUGACGCAG